rnacentral:rRNA from 1 species
AUGAUCAUCACUGGUGACGACUCUGACUACAUCGCCUUUGUUAAGGCCCGCCUUCACGACCAGUUCCUCAUGACUGAUCUUGGUCCUCUUCGCUAUUUUCUUGGGAUUGAGAUCUCCUCGACCUCUGAUGGCUUCUACAUCUCUCAAGAGAAAUAUAUUCAGGAUCUUCUUGCUCGAGCUGCUCUCAGUGAUGACCGCACUGUUGUGACUCCUAUGGAGCUCAACGUUCAGCUUCGUGCCUCUGAUGGUGACCCUCUUCCUAAUCCCACUCGCUAUCGUCACCUUGUUGGUAGCCUUGUCUAUCUUGCUGUUACGCGUCUUGACAUCUCCUAUCCUGUUCACAUCCUGAGUCAGUUUGUCUCGGCCCCCACCUCUGUCCACUAUAGUCACCUCCUCCGUGUUCUACGAUAUCUUCGUGGCACUAUCUCUCAGCGCCUUUUCAUUCCCCGCUCCAGUUCUCUUGAGCUCCAGGCUUACUCUGAUGCUACCUGGGCUAGUGAUCCCUCUGAUCGACGCUCGCUGUCUGCUUACUGUGUCUUUCUUGGUGGCUCUCUUAUUGCCUAG